GCCAGGAGUGGUGGCGCAUGCCUGUAAUCCCAGCGGCUCAGGAGGCUGAGACAGGAGAAUCUCCAGUUCAAAGCCAGCCUCAGUAAUAUCAAAGCACUAAGCAACUCAGUGAGACCCUGACUCUA
rnacentral:sRNA from 1 species